GGAGGAGAUGGCAGGCUCAAGCUGUGGGCCACAUGCUGAGGGUACAGCACAUGCCUCUGGGUACUCACUGGGUGUGUGGUAUUUACUCUCCAGGAAAAGGUGGCAUUUUAUAAUGUUUAAAUCUAUUUUUGAAACUGUGACAUGAGAGCCAGUCCCAGCAAAAGCCACUGCCUUCAGGGAAACAAACCUUGUGGGAGCACUGACAAACUGAAUGCACCCAGAGACUCAGGUUGGAUCCAAGUGACAGCACAGGUGAAUAUCUCCUACUGAAUAGCUCAGUGCAUGAGUUUGUACAAAGCACCAGACCACUUCAGCUGUGUGUCUUCUGAUUAUCUAUAUUGCAUGGCAGCACUGACAUCCCCAGGCAGAGGAGCUAAGUGGCUUAAUUUGGCUCAGCAAAGCUUGUUAGCUUCUGCCACUUUUUACUCUUCAGAUUUUAAGAUCCCUUAAAAUCUUGGCCUGCCUCAGUGUUAGGGAGCCAGUGCUCUCACCUCUGCUUCCCCACUCGCAGGCAUUCCAGGUCCCUGGUGUAGCAGUGUGAUUUCAGGAACUCAGAACACAUUCUCCCUGAGUAAGUUUAGCGAAAUUAGAUACUUCUUCUUCUCCUCCUCCUCCUUCUUCUUCUUCUUCUUCUUCUUUUUUUUUUUAAUUAGAAAGAUAAAUUGUUUUGACUGCACUAAAAUCUAAAAACAGUGUUUUACAAUGAGGGCGAGAUGUAUGACAUGCAUGACUUUUCUUAAUAUGCUAUUCUUACACAGGUCAUUAGAGGAUCUAAAAGCCCAUUAUAUUCCAGAGUGUGCCUGAUUACUGUGUUUCUCCUACAUAAUAUCCUAUAAAUUCUUAUAAAAAGAAAGAAACACUAGACAAAAUGAAUGUUUUUAAGUCCUUUGACUGCAAAUGAGGACUAUGUCUCUGAUUACUGCAUUGUAUGAAAAGUAUUCUAAAAUGUUAUUUUACAUGCUGUCCUAAGUCAAGGCUUAUUUUAAAAACAAGCUUUUGACAGCAAAAGUAAAUUCACAUGAUUAUCUGCAUAGUGCUGGAUAUAUUUGGUAAUAAUGGUUUAAAUUACCAUCAUCUUUUCAGCACCUUUUAGCGCUAUGAAAGAAGGCUUUCUUUGCUGCCUUUCAAUGUGCUGAAUCUGGCAUACUGAAAUAUCAGUCACAAUUUCUAGGAAGAUUUUCCUGCACAGCAACUACCUGUAAGUGAAAUCAAUAUUUGGGCCUGAAUUCUGCCACCUACUCGUACUUGCUGUGCAAAUUGUUUCACUGAAGCCAACAUAGCUCUGUGCACAAAAUCAUUUCAUAAGCCACAAGGUGGUAUGCUCUAAAUUACUGUUAUGCCUUUGGUUUGAGCUCUCAUAUCUGCUCUGAUUAGAAAAGAUAAGUAAAAAUUCAGAUGAAAGGGAAAAAAACAACCCUUAACUCUCAUUAAAUUUUAUUUCAUUUUUGAAACUUUUUAACAACCUGCUAAAUGAUAGUGAGCAGGAGUCUUCCUUGACAUAUGCUCUUUGAAAUCCAGACCGAAGGUGGACCUUUGGUUUAAGGAAUUUUUACUGAGUUUUCCAUACUUUUUUUUUUUCGUUUUUAAUUAGUCUGUAAUUUCUUUUGCUUGGAUGAAAGGAAAAAGCUGGUUCUAGUCAAAACACUGUAAUUAAAUGUUCUGAAAUGCAAGCAUUUUCACACUGGGAAGACCUGGCAAAUAACGAGACUCUUCACAGCUCAAUGUUUGCACUCAAUUGUCUGCUUGUGUAGCAACUGUGCCCAGGCACUGAAUAAACUAGGGCACAGAUACUGAAUUUGCUGCAGCUGCUGACAUUUCUUUGUGUUUCUGACCUUCAAUAUGGACAGCCCAGUCUUUAUUCACCAAACCCCUUCUAGCUGAUCAUGCUCUGCACUUGGGAAAUUCUGAGUGAAAGAUACAAUACUACUUAGCUUGGGCUCCGUGCAGACAUCAGAAAUGGGGUGCACACUGGGACAUGCCUUGGGCAUUAGCUUGGUGUUCACAGCAAUACCUGGGCUGUGCGUUUCAGUAAGGAGGAAGCAAGGAACUUCACCAAUAGACGUGGUUAUCCCAAAGCAGCAGGAGGGGAAUCUCCAGCAGCACUCAGGAUGGGAUGCUGAGAGGAAACACAGUUUAUUGUCAGCCUAGAUUUUGUUCUGUAUGUAGUUUUAUGGACCACUGUCUGUGGGAAGGAGUUUAGGCUUUCUUGGUAUCAUUCACCGGUUUAUUAUUUUUAAUAAAAAAUAUCUCAUUUGCUCCUUUUCGUGGUUUUGACACUCUACCUGUUGCCAGCCUCGGUCAGAGAACUGACACUACAUUUCCUUGUGCUUUGGAUUGACCCCUUUGACUUUUCACUCUUUGAGGCAGCUCUAUCUCUUUCUUCACCUUUUCCUCAGGGUUAUCACAGCAUCCCAGGAGAGAAUGGGGCUUGUGGUUUUUGUCCCCACUCUCUGCUGAUCCGUGCACCAGCAUUACUUCUGAAUUGUUUAUUACAGGGAGGUCUGGGAUGACAGCAAUGAACCUGCAGUAGUGAAAUGUUUUUCUUUGGCUUCUAGAUAAACUUUUUUUUUCCUAUCCCUUUUUUCCAUUCUCAGCUUGUUAUCACCAUUGUCAUCACCUGGUGACUGUGCU
ensembl:lncRNA